CAGCGUUGGUAGCUGCAAGCCAGGGGCGGUAGCGUG
rfam:Erwinia iniecta strain B120 contig000003, whole genome shotgun sequence.